rnacentral:rRNA from 1 species
UACGUAGGAGACGAGCGUUGUCCGGAAUUACUGGGCGUAAAGCGCGUGUAGGCGGGGUGGCCCGUCGGUCGCUGAAAGCCCCCGGCUCAACCGGGGAAGGGGCGCCGAUACGACCACCCUGGAGGGACGUAGGGGGACCUGGAACUUCCGGUGGAGCGGUGAAAUGCGUUGAGAUCGGAAGGAACGCCCGUGGCGAAAGCGAGGUCCUGGACGUUUACUGACGCUGAGACGCGAAAGCCAGGGGAGCGAACGGG